rnacentral:misc_RNA from 1 species
UAUUGAGACGGACCUAUAGCGCCUGAGAUGAAUGGUGAGAAAGGAUCCAUAAAGUCAACCCCAACUAGUCUAGGAUUAAGGCUUAGUUGUUUUUGUUGUUGUGAUUGUUGAUAGAAUUUCAAAAGAUAUUGUCUUAGUAAAGGAAAAAAAAAAAAAAAAAGAAGAGAGAGAUAUCCAAAAUUCACCUUCUUUCCCCAGCAUAUUAGCUUCAAUUCCAGUCCAGUAGUUAGAUUCGGC